rnacentral:sRNA from 1 species
UUGACUAUGAUUCGAGAAUGAUUAUUAUCUAAGCCGUCAGCUGCCAAGCUGGCUUGAUAAUCUGAAUGCAUCCAGACGGAAGCUCCAGUUAUCUCCUCAUCAGGCUAAUCACGGUUAUUGACCCGGCUAUUUUGCCGGGUCUUUUUUUG